rnacentral:rRNA from 1 species
UACGGGGGGGGCAAGCGUUGUUCGGAAUUACUGGGCGUAAAGGGCUCGUAGGCGGCCAACUAAGUCGGACGUGAAAUCCCUCGGCUUAACCGGGGAACUGCGUCCGAUACUGGAUGGCUUGAGUUCGGGAGAGGGAUGCGGAAUUCCAGGUGUAGCGGUGAAAUGCGUAGAUAUCUGGAGGAACACCGGUGGCGAAGGCGGCAUUCUGGACCAAUACUGACGCUGAGGAGCGAAAGCCAGGGGAGCAAACGGG